rnacentral:rRNA from 1 species
CCUACGGGUGGCAGCAGUGAGGAAUAUUGGUCAAUGGGUGAGAGCCUGAACCAGCCAAGUCGCGUGAAGGAUGACGGCCCUACGGGUUGUAAACUUCUUUUGUCAGGGAGCAAUUGGGUCCACGCGUGGGCUUAGCGAGAGUACCUGAAGAAAAAGCAUCGGCUAACACCGUGCCAGCAGCCGCGGUAAUACGGAGGAUGCGAGCGUUAUCCGGAUGUAUUGGGUUUAAGGGGGGCGUAGGCGGAACAUCAAGUCAGCGGUAAAAAUUCGGGGUUAACCCCCGUCGUGCCGUUGAAACUGAGGUUCUUGAGUGGGCGAGAGGUAUGCGGAAUGCGUGGUGUAGCGGUGAAAUGCAUAGAUAUCACGAAGAACUCCGAUUGCGAAGGCAGCAUACCGGCGCCCAACUGACGCUGAAGCACGAAAGCGUGGGUAUCGAACAGGAUUAGAUACCCCGGUAGUC